rnacentral:rRNA from 1 species
ACUCCUACGGGAGGCAGCAGUGGGGAAUAUUGCACAAUGGGCGCAAGCCUGAUGCAGCCAUGCCGCGUGUAUGAAGAAGGCCUUCGGGUUGUAAAGUACUUUCAGCAGUGAGGAAGGCAGGUACGUUAAUAGCGUGCUUGUUUGACGUUAGCGACAGAAGAAGCACCGGCUAACUCCGUGCCAGCAGCCGCGGUAAUACGGAGGGUGCGAGCGUUAAUCGGAAUUACUGGGCGUAAAGCGCAUGCAGGUGGUUUGUUAAGUCAGAUGUGAAAGCCCGGGGCUCAACCUCGGAAUUGCAUUUGAAACUGGCAGGCUAGAGUCUUGUAGAGGGGGGUAGAAUUUCAGGUGUAGCGGUGAAAU